GUGUCACUGUUUGAUACCAUGGAAACACUGGCCAGCAGGUGUCACUGUUUGAUACCAUGGAAACACUGGCCAGCAGGUGUCACUGUUUGAUACCAUGGAAACACUGGUCAGCAGGUGUCACUGAUUGAUACCAUGGAAACACUGGCCAGCAGGUGUCACUGAUUGAUACCAUGGAAACAUGGCGCUUAGUUGUUAAGUUAGUCUGGGGGCAGGGUGGCUAACUUUUUAGGCUUGAAAUAAGUCAGUUGCCAGUUUAUUAGGGACACCGAGCUAAAACUAAUGCGGUCUAAUGCAACAGUCCUGCAAUAAGUCCUCCUCCGUGAAGGUUAUAAUGUCGGUGUGUGUUGAAACUGCUGUAUUGUGUUAUACUGAUAGGGGUUUCUAUUACUUUGUCCACCCCAUUUACUUCAAAUGAGGGUUGGUUAAACAGCGGAAACACCUCUCUGCAAUGCAGUUCAGCAGCACCACGAACUACAAACACAGGUUCCACAUUUCCAAAAUCUGGUGUGAAGCCUGAAGCGGUGAGGCUGUUACAGCAGCAGAUUAAUGACCUCGGUUUUUGUAAAACUAUCACAUAUGGUCGUAACGUUUCGGCGUCCAAAUACUUUGGCCAUACAUCAUCAAUGACGUCAGCCACUAGGUGGUGAUAAUGAAUCUGAAGUGCCAUCAGUGUGUUCACACAGCACACACAGUAUUUGUUAGUACACCUGCAUGUGUCCAAGGAUUAAUUUGAGUUUGUUAAACUCCAGCUGAAGUCACGUUUAGUCGUCCUUUUUUCCCCAAAAAGUCACAAAUAACGUUCUUAAAUGUGCAAACAACUGACAGCCACUCACAUAACAGAGUCUUACAUCGCUCCUGCUGCUGCAGAGCGUCUGCACGAUGUCGAGGGUUUAUAGUACAUUACUGUGGGAUCUGUGCUGUUUCACACUUCAUUAGAAAUGCAUAAAUUACAGUUUCUGGGUAAAACCAUUAAAGAAUAAAUAAACAUUACUGAUAUUCAGUGUGAUUGCAGGCAGAUCAUUUUUCAUGGUCAUUAAACACAUUCAAAGAAGUUCGGGGAAGUUCAGAAGAGUCUGCUGUUGUAUUUUUGGUAUCACGGAAGUUUUCUUAAACACCAGAACCUGAAUGAGGAACUAAUGUGAAACUUAAAUAUAUAUAUAUAUAUAUAUAUAUAUAUAUAUAUAUAUAUAUAUAUAUAUAUUAUAUAUAUAUAUAUUACAGAAUACUUAAGUGGUAUGAAUACAAACUUAAUGUUUAAACCUCACAUCUAAUUCAGUGUUUCCUCUAAAUACUUUUUUUUUUACAUACAGUACUAAUGUUUUUGUUAGAUUGUCAAUGAACGUACCAACCAAACUGAACGGCAAUGAAAGGUUAUUAAAGGGAAAUGAGAACCACUGUGGUCAUCUGCCCUUUCACUGAGAACUUUCCGUCAUCGAGUCCUGACUGAUCUGUCAGCGUUAAAGAGUGGUGAAAUGUUUUAUCUAAAUAUAUUGUGCCUGUGAAGUGUGUCUUCAUAAAUGUGAAGUUAAAGCUUAAUACAGUGCAGCUCUUCUCUAACUUUACUGUAUAUUCUAGCGGAGGUUCACAUGUUCAAAGAUACCAGAAUGGCUGAAUUUUGGGGGAAAUGUCACUAAAGUGACAUUUUACUAUAGUCUACUUAACUGUAUAUGACAUACCUUUAUGUACCUGUAAUGUGUAUAUAUAAAUGUAUAUAUCAAUACUCUUCUAUGCAAUUGAAUGAAGCACCUUGCCUUAUCAAUACAAGACAAUAUACAGCGGUGUGAAAAAG